ncrna:unclassified sequences 6A RNA
UGAUAUGCUCGUAGUGUAGCGAUCAGUAUAAUCAAAAAAAAUACACAAAUGGA